rnacentral:rRNA from 1 species
CCUACGGGAGGCAGCAGUGGGGAAUAUUGCACAAUGGGGGAAACCCUGAUGCAGCGACGCCGCGUGAGCGAUGAAGUAUUUCGGUAUGUAAAGCUCUAUCAGCAGGGAAGAAAAUGACGGUACCUGACUAAGAAGCCCCGGCUAACUACGUGCAAGCAGCAGCGGUAAUACGGAGGGGGCAAGCGUUAUCCGGAUUAUCUGGGUGUAAAGGGAGCGUAGACGGCUGUGCAAGCCAGAUGUGAAAGCCCGGGGCUCAACCCCCGGACUGCAUUUGGAACUGUGUGGCUGGAGUGUCGGAGAGGCAUGCGGAAUACCUAGUGUAGCGGUGAAAUGCGUAGAUAUUAGGAGGAACACCAGUUGCGAAGGCAGCCUGCUGGACGAUGACUGACGUUGAGGCUCGAAAGCGUGGGGAGCAAACAGGAUUAGAUACCCUGGUAGUC